AUUGAACGCUGGCGGCAUGCCUUACACAUGCAAGUCGAACGGUAACAGGUCUUCGGAUGCUGACGAGUGGCGAACGGGUGAGUAAUACAUCGGAACGUGCCCGAUCGUGGGGGAUAACGCAGCGAAAGCUGUGCUAAUACCGCAUACGAUCUACGGAUGAAAGCGGGGGAUCGCAAGACCUCGCGCGGACGGAGCGGCCAAUGGCAGAUUAGGUAGUUGGUGGGAUAAAAGCUUACCAAGCCGACGAUCUGUAGCUGGUCUGAGAGGACGACCAGCCACACUGGGACUGAGACACGGCCCAGACUCCUACGGGAGGCAGCAGUGGGGAAUUUUGGACAAUGGGGAAACCCUGAUCCAGCCAUGCCGCGUGCAGGAUGAAGGCCUUCGGGUUGUAAACUGCUUUUGUACGGAACGAAAAGGUCCUUCUAAUAAAGAGGGCUCAUGACGGUACCGUAAGAAUAAGCACCGGCUAACUACGUGCCAGCAGCCGCGGU
rnacentral:rRNA from 1 species